rnacentral:tRNA from 1 species
GAGCCUAUGGUGUAACGGCAGCACAACACACUGUGGAUGUGUUAGUAUGGGUUCGAAACCCAUUAGGCUCCCCA